UACGUGGGGGGCAAGCGUUGUUCGGAAUUAUUGGGCGUAAAGGGCGCGUAGGCGGCGCCACAAGUCACUUGUGAAAACUCUGGGCUCAACUCAGAGCCUGCAAGCGAAACUGUGGUGCUGGAGUAUGGGAGAGGUGCGUGGAAUUCCCGGUGUAGCGGUGAAAUGCGUAGAUAUGGGGAGGAACACCGGUGGCGAAGGCAGCGCACUGGACCAUAACUGACGCUGAGGCGCGAAAGCGAGGGGAGCAAACAGG
rnacentral:rRNA from 1 species